AUUUAGCUUCAUGUUUGUAGUCAAUUAACAACUCGAUUCAGCAUCUUCCAGUCUUCUCUUCUUUAGCACUGUUGACUGGGAUCCUGCCAUUGAGGGCUUUCACGGCCUCCUUUCUGUCUGUCCAGCAUUCCCAUGCGAGUUGGCUAGCAGCCGUGUCCACAGUCCCCUCAGUCUCUCUCUCUCUCUCUCCCUCUUUCUCUCUCUCUCUCUCUUUUUGGUCCUCAUGUGGUGUUUAGCCCUUCACUCUCCUUCACUGCCUCUGUCUCACUGUGUAUUCUUUAGAAUAGCAAGCUGCUGUAGUCACUCCUUCCUGUAGUCCCGAGCAAACAAAGAGUGGGGUUCAGGUGUUCCCAAAAUGAGCCUUGUGUCCUUACACACAUGGGGUAGAGUGUUUUCAGACCCCACAAGGUCAAAUGUUUUCUGUAGUCAUUUUUUUCCCUCUCGUUUCAAGGGGGGGGGAGGAUAUGGUCUGGAUUUCCCUCUCCACUUUGUCCCAGAUAGAUUAUUUUCCUGUGUGUUUCUAGAGCUUUUUCAAUCAUUGCCAUUUUAAGUAUAGUACGAGUAUUUAACAGUCUCAAGGCAUGACGUGCCGUCUUUGUUCUCCACUAAACUUAGAAAGUACUAUUUUUCACAUACUUCUCUUUCUCUCUCUCUCUGUCCCAUUCUCUCUCUCUCUUUCUCUCUCUCUGGUUUGCCAUGUCUGUCUGUCUAAUUUCUUGUAUUAUUUGUUAUUUCUGCCUUUCAGGAACCUCCUGUGCUUCCAAUGGGCCAGUUCACCGAGAAGUUCAUCCACUUCAUCACACAAUGUAUGAAGAAGCUGCCCAAAGAACGCCCUGCACCAAACAAUCUAAUGGACCAUUCCUUCAUCCAACUGUUUGACGACGGGAACAUGGAGGUGGUGUCCAUGUGGGUGUGCUGCUGUCUGGAGGAGCGCAGGGCCCAGCAGGCCCCGGUCCACAUGUCCUAAGGAGCCCUGGCAUGGUCCUGCAGAAUUGUGGGAAGGAUUUGAUCCCUAGGUCCUGGAUCCCCAAGAUGCAGAGGAGCAAACCAGAAAUCACUUCACACUUCCCUUCCCAUCAAGCCAAGGCCAUUCGCCAUUAUUUUUUUUCUUCCUUCUUAUGAACUGCAUAUGUCCUAUCUUUGGGCUUUCCAGAAAAAUCGUAUUUCCUCUUGGCAUGACUGACGCUGUGUGAUGGACUUCACUUCCAACUCAACUCUUUGUCUUUGCCUGUUGCACUGAGCACCUGUGACUUGGCCGAGUAGGAAACUGACUUUAGUGUGAUUGUAAUCACACUAAAUAGUGUGCUCUUUUUUAUUUGUUGUUGUCAAUACUAACAUGUUUGUGGAACGUGUAAGAGUAUGCAGUUGACCCUGAGGUCUUAAACAGAUGGAACCAUGUGAAGAUGAAUGGCUGUACAUUUUUUUGGAGGAAAGUGCUUUUUCAGGUCGACUCCAGACGCUUGACCAUGCUUUAUCGUUGGCAGCUUUAUCGUGAGUGUUAACGUGUGCCUGUAUGCCCGUGCAGCGGCAGUCCUUUGCCCGUGCCUGAUCUCUCUGUCUGUAGCCCCCUCUCUCUCUCUCUCUUGAGCCCAGUGCUGCCUGUUCACUCCGCCAUGCGUGGAAAACGUUGAGGGAACAACUGUCUCUGACCGCAGUGCCGGCCGCGUCGUCCUCACACCACACAACCUCCACUCCCCUCCUCACCCCACUGCAGCUUGGACAAGAGCACAGACCAGCCUUGACUCUCCAGCGCGGGACACCGAAGGCUGAAGUGCCACCCGUCUCCCACUCUCGUUUCGGCAGAUACAGCCAAUGAGGUUUUGGUGGGAAGAUUCAGGAGGGCUUUUGGACUGCUUCACCUCCUGAGGACGUUUGUGCUGCUCAGAUAGUCCUGGGAUCAGAUGAGACUUUGAGAGAGUGGGUGAAUGUGAAAGGAAAGGCUGAAUUUUGUGUGUGUGUGUGUGUGUGUGUGUGUGUGUGUGUGUGUG